CGGUAAUAGCAGUUCAUCGUAGUGCCUCACCGCUGUCAUUACAAGAAAAUACACAAUAAACUUGAGUGAUAAAUUGAACGAAACGUACGAUGUCAUCAGCAGAUCAAAUAGCAGUUAAAAUUGUGAAACGUUUCUCGCAAAUAGCUGACGAACUUUUAAACGAUGAAAUAACUGUGUAGACUUCGUUAUUCGUGUAAGAAAACACGUUGUGAUCCGUACAUAUAAAAACUGACACAUAUUGCCGGGGUUGAAUACGAUAAAGUAAUAAAUAAUAUCGUUCAAAAGUCAAAGAACCUUUAGGCUUUGACCAUGACUAAAGACCAUGCAAAAAUCAGAGGCUAUCGUUAAGUUUCCAUUUUGAUGAAACAAUAAACAACUUAGUAAGUCUUUUUUAAUUAUUCCAUAUUGUUUUAGGGUGUUUUUAUACCAAAUGGUAUGAAUGCAAAAUCUUUUAUUUUACGAAAAUGUCUUCCU